rnacentral:misc_RNA from 1 species
GAUGAAGAACGCAGCGAAAUGCGAUAAGUAGUGUGAAUUGCAGAAUUCAGUGAAUCAUCGAAUCUUUGAACGCACAUUGCGCCCCUUGGUAUCCCGAGGGGCAUGCCUGUUCGAGCGUCAUUUCACCACUCAAGCCUGGCUUGGUGUUGGGCGACGUCCCCUUUGGGGACGCGCCUCGAAACGCUCGGCGGCGUGGCACCGGCUUUAAGCGUAGCAGAAUCUUUCGCUUUGGAAGUCGGGGCCCCGUCUGCCGGAAGACCUACUCGCAAGGUUGACCUCGGAUCAGGCAGGGAUACCCGCUGAACUUAAGAAUAUCAAUAAGCGGAGGA